rnacentral:rRNA from 1 species
GACGAACGCUGGCGGCGUGCUUAACACAUGCAAGUCGAACGGAAAGGCCCUGCUUUUGUGGGGUGCUCGAGUGGCGAACGGGUGAGUAACACGUGAGUAACCUGCCCUUGACUUUGGGAUAACUUCAGGAAACUGGGGCUAAUACCGGAUAGGAGCUCCUGCUGCAUGGUGGGGGUUGGAAAGUUUCGGCGGUUGGGGAUGGACUCGCGGCUCAUCAGCUUGUUGGUGGGGUAGUGGCUUACCAAGGCUUUGACGGGUAGCCGGCCUGAGAGGGUGACCGGCCACAUUGGGACUGAGAUACGGCCCAGACUCCUACGGGAGGCAGCAGGGGGGAAUAUUGCACAAUGGGCGGAAGCCUGAUGCAGCAACGCCGCGUGCGGGAUAACGGCCUUCGGGUUGUAAACCGCUUUCGCCUGUGACGAAGCGUGAGUGACGGUAAUGGGUAAAGAAGCACCGGCUAACUACGUG